rnacentral:rRNA from 1 species
UACGAAGGGUGCAAACGUUGCUCGGAAUCAUUGGGCGUAAAGCGCACGUAGGCGGCUUCGCAAGUCGGAUGUGAAAUCCCUCGGCUCAACCGAGGACGUGCAUACGAAACUGCGAAGCUUGAGUACUGAAGAGGAUCGCGGAAUUCCCGGUGUAGAGGUGAAAUGCGCAGAUAUCAGGAGGAACACCGGUGGCGAAGGCGGUGGUCUGGGCCGGCACUGACGCUGAGGAGCGAAAGCGUGGGGAGCGAACAGG